UUUCAGCUCCUCUUCUAGCCAAUCAAUCGAAGAGGGGAGGUGACGUCACUCCACUGCGACUCAUGGCUGUGUGUUGACAGGUGAAGAAAGAUAUCCCGGACAAUUACAGUUGUGAAUGAAAUGGCUGGACCAACGGGACGUCCCAAACUCGGUGUGUCUGAGCAGCAACUUAGACAAUUGUCUGAAAUUGGACUGAGUGUACAUUUCAUUUCAAAACUGCUUGGCAUGUCAUCACGAACAGUUGAACGGAGAAUGCAAGAGUUUGGCAUUACAGUGAGGGAGUUCAUUCUUAAACAGCUUACAAGCAGCAGUCAGGCUUGGAUCGGUGUGACUGACAGCGACACAGAGGGGGUGUGGAAAUGGGUGGACAAUACACCACUGACCACUUCGUUCUGGUUGGUGGAGAACCAAAUAAUGCAGGCGAUGAGGACUGUGCCGAGAUUGUGAGUUGGAAGAACAGCUGGAACGACAGAUCAUGCUCUGCAAAUGUACGGUGUAUCUGUGAAAAGAACGUGUUUUUGUUGUAAGGUUAAAAUAACAGAAUGAGCAACAAGAGGGUGUGUGUUACAGUGAUUUCAUUAUUGGGAAGGGUGUUCUUAGGCAUUAAAG
ensembl:lncRNA